rnacentral:rRNA from 1 species
UACGAAGGGGGCUAGCGUUGUUCGGAAUCACUGGGCGUAAAGGGCGCGUAGGCGGCCUGAUAAGUAGGGGGUGAAAUCCUGCGGCUUAACCGCAGGGCUGCCUUCUAAACUGUCAGGCUGGAGCACAGUAGAGGCAGGUGGAAUUCCCGGUGUAGCGGUGGAAUGCGUAGAGAUUGGGAAGAACAUCAGUGGCGAAGGCGGCCUGCUGGGCUGUUGCUGACGCUGAGGCGCGACAGCGUGGGGAGCAAACAGG